rnacentral:rRNA from 1 species
UACAGAGGUCUCAAGCGUUGUUCGGAUUCUUUGGGCGUAAAGGGGGCGUAGGCGGCGCGGUAAGUCGGGUGUGAAAUCUCGGAGCUUAACUCCGAAACUGCAUUCGAUACUGCCGUGCUUGAGGACUGGAGAGGAGACUGGAAUUUACGGUGUAGCGGUGAAAUGCGUAGAUAUCAGGAAGAACACCCGUGGCGAAGGCGGCUCUCUGGAACGCAACUGACGCUGAGACGCGAAAGCGUGGGGAGCAAACAGG